CCAGUCAGUAAGUUGUUGGAAAGUGUGAGAAUCCCCAGAGAAUCGCCGGAAAUCUCCGGUGGCAGUUCGCCGUCGAAACGGUUGUUCGCGAGUUCGAUUAUCUUGACCGAAGGCAGUUUGAAAAUUCCUGACGGAAUGGCGCCGCUGAGGUAGUUAUUGGAGGCUCGGAUCUUGACGAGAGACUUGCAGUUUCCAAUAUCAUCAGGGAUUUGACCGUGAAAGAAGUUGUCGGUGAUGAGGAAGGUUUGUAACCUCCCACUCUUGCACAAACCCGGAGGGAUCAACCCGGUGAAGUGAUUGGUCGUGACGUCGAAAAACUUUAACCUCCCGUUUUGGCCCAGAUUCGGGGGCAGCACGAAGGAGAAGUUGUUUUCCCAGAGUUGCAGCGUUUCCAGAUUCGGAAGCUCGCCGACGAAGGCGGGAACAGAGCCGCUAAGCUUGUUGUGGAAGAAGUUCAUGAGAGUGAGGUUUCUGAGCUGAGAGAAACUCUGCGGGAUCUCUCCGGUGAGACCGUUGAAGGAGAGAUCCAGUGACAUGAGGCUCUCCAUCGCCGAGAAUUCAGAAGGAAUGGUUCCGGUAAGGUUGUUCAUUUGCAAGAACAACGUGUCAAGUUUCUUCAAACUGCUCAAGCUCGGUGGAAUCUCGCCGCUGAGGUUGCAGCUAGAUAGGUCAAGGUAUAUAAGAGAUUUCAUGGCGCCGAACUCCGGCGGGAUUCCACCUUCGUAAGCGUUGUUGUAUCCGAGUUUUAGAUACUUCAGCGUCUUCAACCGAGACAAACUCUCGGGAAUCUUCCCCGACAAACUGUUAGUGCUUAAGCUCAAAAACUCCAAGCUCUUAAACUCGGAGUAGCUCUCCGGUAUGCUGCCGGAGAAGUAAUUUCCGUCUAGCUUGAGGUAUCGGAGUUUCUCCAGUUUCACGAAUUCCUCCGGAAGCUGUCCGAUGAAGUUGUUGUCGUAGGCGUCGAAAACCUCGAGUUGGGUGAUGGGAAGAAAGCUUUGGCCGGGAAAAUAGUGGGAGAAGGAGUUGUGAGAGAUGUUGAGGAGCUUGAGGGAAGUGAGGGCAGCGAGCUCCUUGGGAAGCUGGCCGGUGAGGUUGUUCUGCGUGAUGGUUAGGUUUUGGAGUUUGUCGAAGUGUCCAAUCUCCGGCGGCAGGUUGCCGAAGAGUGGAACGAAGGAGACGUUGAUAGCAACGACUCGAAGGUCUUGAUCACACGUAACACCAGGAAAUAAACAGUGUGCGGAAAGCGAGGUAGAGAACUUCCAAUCGUGAAGAGCAUCGUCUUUGGCUUUGGCUCCUUUCAUGGAGUCCUUCAGCUUCCGCAAAGCAUCCAUGUCACUGAAGGAAGAACACUUGGCCACGCUGAACCAUACCAAGACCAAGAACAAUAGCCUGUAACACACACCAUUUCUCAUCUCUCUCUCUUCCUUCCUUCUACUCAUACAUUUGGCUGCUCCUUCUUUUGACAUCACACACCUCCUUCUGUCUCUAUUUAUAUACACUGCUAUAACAUACUAAAUUAAACAGCAUGUGUGCAUGCAAUACUAUUUCUGUUUCUACUGAUUCAUAAAGUUCUUCCAAGUGGAUGCCCUAAAAAGUAAAGAAAAGAAUAAUAUGCAUCACCAGUAGCUGCACCAGAUCCACUAUAAGUCUGUGAAACAUCAACCAUAAUUAUGUUUCAAGAAAAUUGUAUACCUAUAUGGGAGAGGUCCUACCAGCAAUUACUUUAGAAAAGCUUUCUCAAAUCUUUUUUAUAUUAAUGUCUACACAUAUCAAGUUAAUUAUUCUUGGUAUAUUUUAUAUAAUAUGACAGUAAUAAUAUUCUUACAUUCUUAAUAUGGGCCAUGCACUCUACUAAAUUGCUUGAUGAUGAAAUAUGCUUGGCUCACCAGUAGCAGCCGAGUCCGCAGAAGGUGGAGUUAGCUUUUGUGAAGAGAAAGAUGCAAUCUCUUCCUGACCAUUCAUGGAGGUUUGAACUUUUCAUGAGCCUCACUUUGCAGUGAAACGAAUUUAACGUGAUUCACCAAAUUUAAAAAGGGAAUACAUGAAAGUUUCUUUAAGUACAAGUCUUCUUAGCUACUGUUCUUUGGUAUAUCACAGGGAUAAUUAGUGCCCGUGCCAAAGCAAAGCAUCGAUUCUGUGUUUUAAGUUGUACUGUCAACGAUCAAGAACUAGAUAUUGCAGAAUCCUAUUCUGUGCAUGACAAUAAAUGGAUAUGCAUAUCAAUGAAAAUUUAAAGCAAAUAUUAUUCAUCUCAAGUUGUUAAAUACAAAUUACCAUUUUGGAGUGUUGUGUCCUUAAACAGACAAGAUGAUAUACAGAUAAACAAAAGUUGUUCUUACAAACUGUUCUUGUAGGCUUCAGUUUUGUGUUAAUCAUGUUUUGGGUAUGAUUACCGUGUAAUAUCUAUUUUGUGGUACUGUUUAAUUAAUCUGAAAUAUGAGAUAACAUGUGUGUAUGAGAAGUGUUUUAGCAUAUAGUCUGAAGAAGGAAAACACAGUGUACAAUAUGAAGGGAUUCCUCAAAGUUGUUGUAGCCUUUUGUUCUGUAUUUGGUUCGAUUGUAGGUACUUUAGAUGAUUCGUAUUAGGCAUAUAAAAAAAAACUUAAGAAUAUUGGUAAAAGAAAAUAGCUAGAGACAAGUUUUUUCUUUUAAUUCUUUUGUUUGUUUUAUUGAAUGCUUAAAAAAGUGUUACAAGGUGAAGAUUCUCUCAGAAUGAUGCUUCAAGAAUGGGUUCAACAAUUAUUUGAUAGUUUUGGAAAUUGGGAGCCAGUGAUAGACGAAUGAGUGGUAGAUGCUUCUCAAAAGUGUUCAAUAUUGUGGUUUGUCAACGCCUGUGAUGAUAGUGACAGUGAGUUAGUGUUGGUGAAGUGCCCACAUAAAUCUUAUAUCAUUGGUCCUUUUAGUUACUUCGUGUUUUACGUGGCAGACACUUUUAAUUCCCUAAGCCUAAUUAAAUUCUAUAUUUCAUUAACCUAAUAAGAAAUUGAAUCCAACACAUUAUCUGCGAAAGAUACACUCUAUAGUUAUAUUUUUAGAUAUCAGGGAUAUCUUUCAUGAUAUUUUUUUCUCUGAAUUGAGUAAAAUUGAUGUUAGGUAAUAAACCAAUUACAUAUUUUAUUACACUUACAAGUUACUCUACUUGUAUAUUUGCAUAUGGGAAGAACUAGAGAAAAUAGAAGAAUAAACAAAACAAAAAAAUGUUUUGGUUUGGGCUUAUAACUGAGUGUUGUGUCAUUUACUAUGUGAAAAUUAAAUUUUAUAUCAUUAAAAUGGGAAACUAAUAGUGAAUAUGUUGAAGUGGCAUAAUUAUAAUUAUUAAAAAAAGUUCUAUAUGGAAUGCGCGUGUAAGUAAUUAAUGUGGAAGAAUGUCUAUUUCAUAAGUAGGUGGAACACUAUAAAAUGUUUUUUCCAAUUAUUACUUAAUUAACGUAGGGGUGGGUUUGUGAGUCUUCGUGUUUUUCUUUUAUUACAAAGAAAGAAUAAAUAGAUGUGAACUGAUUUAGGAGUGUUCCAACCUUUAUAUAAAACGAAAACUCAUCUCUUAAGAACAAAAUAAAAAUUAAAUACUCAUAUGCGAGCAACACAACAGUAGACACCCAACAAAACAAAAUACACAUACACAUACCAUUUUCGAUCAUUACACCUCUCCUUUCCAAAUUAGUCUUUGUGACUAACUUAUUUUCCAACACCCUCCAAGCUGUGACAUGGGUUGAUGACAAAAUCUUAAUCCUCCAAAAAUUUACGUACACGUAAUUGUUUUCCCCUUCAAGCUCACCCCUUAAGAAAACGUAAGCAUACUUGACCGAGUAAGAAGAAUUCACGUCAUCCUUCCAAACUCAGCUAUUUAUCCAAAUCCAACUUAAUCCUCAAACCUUGAAGCUUCUAAAGAAGUUGACUCUCCAUAACCUUUUCCCACUCAAACAUACUCCUUCUUCAAGCUAAUUUUCACUCCCAGACUCCAUCAAUCCAAUUCCCAAACUCAACCAACUUAGACUCAGAAGGAAUGCUCAAGGAGCACAACCUCGAAAAAACGCUCUUCAAAUCACCACAAUCCCCCCAAUUAUCUUUUCAAAAAUUAAUUUCCUUCCUGUUACCAAUCUUCCAUUUGAACGAUCUUCAAACCUCCUUCCCCAACUCUACAAAACCCAAAUCUUUCCACCAAAGGGACACCUUAAAAUUAUUCCUUCGCUCUCUCGAGCUUCUCCAACCUCCGUAGUUGGACUCAAGAAUAUCCUUCCACAAGUCGUCCUUAUCCGUCCCCAAAUGCCAAAUCCAUUUUCCUAAUAGAGCAACAUUGAAAACAUUCAAAUCAAUAAUUCCAAGACCAUCAACCUCGUGAGACUCGCAAAUUUUCUUCCAAGAAGCCCAUGCAAUCUUCCUCCAUUUCGAACCCCACCCCCACAAGAAAUGACCCUGAAUUCUCUCUAUCUCCUUUAGCACCAGAACAUGCACUUUGUAUAGAGACAAAUAAAAUAACAUAAUAGAUGAAAGCACAAACUUAAUCAAGAAAAUUCUCCCAGCCAAAGAGAGAAGCCUACCUUUCCACCUUCCCAGUCUAGUCUUUAAUCUUUCAAUCACCUCUCUUAUGACACCCCCCAACCAUCAUUUCCAAGUAUUUAAAAGGAGUUGUCAUCACCUUACAAUUAGGAAUAGCCGCAAAUCGUUGUGUCGUUGUCUGAUCACCGAGACAUAUUCUAAACAAGACUUGAUCCAUUUAAUCCAUUUGUCACAUAACUCUUCCCAUCAUAUAAUAAAUAAACUCCCAACUUAUAGGGUCAUAAGCUUUCUCAUAAUCAACCUCAAAGAAAACACAACUUUUCUUCUUUCUCUUCAACUUCUCAAUGACUUCAUUGGCCACAAGCACUCCAUCCAAUAAAUCCCGUCCUUCAAGAAAAGGGGCAUAUCUAACAUCAAUAAUUUUGUUAAUCACCCUUUUCAGUCUAAGAGAUAAAGCUUUCGAAAUAAUUUUAUAUAAGCAACCAACCAACGAAAUAGGUCUAAAAUCACUAAGUUGUUGAGGAUUAUUAACUUGAGGAAUCAAGCAUAAAAAAGACGCAUUUGACCCCCUAGGCCAUUUCCCUCUAGCCGCAAAGUCUUUCAUUGCUGACAAAACAUCCUCUUUACUGAAGUCCCAACUAAACUUUAGGAACCCAAAAUUAAAAUCAUCUAGACCGGGGACUCUUUCACCUGUCACAAUUCCAUAUUUUGUCCUUUAUUUCUUCAAAAAAAAAUCUCCAACCAACAUCUCGUUAUCUUUCCCGGUAAUGACAUUAAAUAUUAUUCAUCCUGAUCUGGAAAGCUUCUUCCCCGACAAACCUAGACUUGAAAAAAUCUUGGACAUUGUCAUUAACCACAUUGUUAUCAACAUACCAUGGUCAAUCCCUAUUUUUCUAAAUGAAACAACAAACCUUUUGACUUGUUUUUUUAUUAAUCAUUGUCAUCAUCACAAAUUCAAACAAACUUUAUUAUUUUGUUUUCUAUUUAGUAAAUCUUUUACUUGAUUAUUCAACUAUUUCUUGUGGAUUCGAUAUUCGUUUUUAGAAACAAAUUAUUACUUCAGACAACACGAUCACUUACCGUAAAAAGUUAUCAUUCAUAUAUAUAUUUUUUAAUCCAUAUUUCAUAUUUUAAUAAUGUGAAUCCAAAGUGUGAACCAUGUUUGAUUUUUUCACUAUAUUAGCGCAAUUUAAUACGUUAAUGAUUGAAACAAGUAAAAUUGAAAACAUUAUCAAAAGGAAUAAGUAAAGUCAAGCUCAUAACUUUGACUUUAUAAAAGUAAAGUUACAACUUUGACUUUAUAAAAGUAAAGUUAUAAAAGUAAAGUUAUGUCAAGUGAUACAUAUUUAAACAUAAUUAGUCAUGUCACUUAACACAAUUUUAGUUUAAAAAGAUAAAAAAAUAGUGUCUAUUUUACAUAACUUAUUUACAAUAAAAUCUAUGAACUUUGACACAACUUAUCUAUUUUAAUAAUUUUUAAUUUUUUUUUUCAAUUUCAAUAAUCAACUUAUCAAUUUCACUAGUUUGAUGAAAAGAAUCAUCAUGUUCAUCCCAUUUGCCACACUAUCUAUGGACCAUUAAGGUGAACGUCAUUUAAAACCCUACUCCAAGUAGCAAUUGUUUUGAGUCUUCUAAAGUAAAUUUUUUAGAUUUUAGGUCUUGUGAAAAUGUGAAAAUAUGGACACUAAAAGAGAUUCGUUAAAUGUGAUUAUUUGAACAUAUACACUCAAGUUUCAUUUUCACCAAAAACAAAUACAUGCAGUAGAAAACGAGAAAGAUUAAAAAAUGUUUAAUUAUGUUAUCAAUUAACCAUGGUUCAUUGAUUAAAAAAAUGUAAAAUGAUCAUAUUCAACACUAUUAACUAAAUUAAUAAUCUGUCUUCAUUACAAAUAACUUGUUGGUUACAGUUUGAAAUAAUACAGAUGUAGAUAAUUUAUAAUAACAGAUAUUAUAUUUAGAAAUGUAAAAAUGGGAGUGGUAGCUGAAACUGAAGCUGAAGCUGAAACAGGGUUUAACGAGGAUCUUUGAUUGAGAGAGAGGUUGGGGUUCCCCGCAAAGGCGUUGUCGUUGAAAACAGAAAACUGGCCACCAGUUGGGAGCUCGCCGUUGAAAUUGUUGAAGGAGAGAUCCAGCAUGACCAAGCUACUCAUCAACCCAAUCUCCUCAGGGACUCGCCCUGUCAAAUUGUUUCUCGAAACAUUCAAAAUGCUCAAGCUCGAGAGCUUUUUUAUGCCGUUUGGAAUCUCUCCGACGAGCAUGUUCCGGCUGAGGUCAACGGAGGAGAGUGAAACGCAGUGAAUCAUCGUCGUUGGGAUUGCUCCCGUCAGAUUGUUGCCGCUUAUGUUUACGGUGGUUAGCAUUGGUAAGACAAAAACCUCCCCCGGGAUUUCUCCAACCAACUCGUUCGCGUCGAGUGAGAGUGUCUGCAGUGCCCUCAAGUUCUUCAACGCCGGGGGGAUUCUCCCAGUCAGUAAGUUGUUGGAAAGUGUGAGAAUCCCCAGAGAAUCGCCGGAAAUCUCCGGUGGCAGUUCGCCGUCGAAACGGUUGUUCGCGAGUUCGAUUAUCUUGACCGAAGGCAGUUUGAAAAUUCCUGACGGAAUGGCGCCGCUGAGGUAGUUAUUGGAGGCUCGGAUCUUGACGAGAGACUUGCAGUUUCCAAUAUCAUCAGGGAUUUGACCGUGAAAGAAGUUGUCGGUGAUGAGGAAGGUUUGUAACCUCCCACUCUUGCACAAACCCGGAGGGAUCAACCCGGUGAAGUGAUUGCUCGUGACGUCGAAGAACAUGAGCCUCCCAUUUUGGCCCAGGUUUUGAGGUAGCGCGCAGGAGAAGUUGUUCGCCCAGAGCUGCAGCGUU
rnacentral:lncRNA from 1 species